UUUAAAUACGUCAAAGACCAAUAUAUUAAUGGAGAUCAAGGAUAUGAAGGAACUGAAAUGGCCAGUCAGAAUGAGGUCACCACCCGAAUCCAGGGACAUGAACAAGUACGGAGAAUUGUAAGGCCCUGCAACGGGAGAUUGAAGCCCUUAUUAAAAGAGGACUCCUGAGCUCCUACGUCGGUAACGACAAACGCCCGAGGAAUGAUCGUGGCAGGGAAAAAGACCCUGAGGCAAAAAGGGAUGGUCAACCUACUGCUGGAACCAUCAAUAUCAUCAUUGGAGGUAUUGCCUCGGGAGGAGACUCCAACAGUGGAAGAAAACAAUAUGCCCGACGAUAUGCCUUGGCCUCUGGUAUGCCUCAGGGAAAGCUGGAGGAUAUUACUUUUGGGACCGGAGACUUAGAAGGCGUAUCACUUCCACAUGAUGACGCCUUGGUAAUCUCAGGGAUUGUGGCCAAUUUCGAAGUAAAGAGGAUCUUGGUUGACAACGGGAGUGCGGCCAAUAUACUUUCACAAGAAGCUUUUGCCAAAAUGGGAAUCUCAUCUCACCAGCUCAAAGCGGUUAAAACUCCUCUCCAGGGGUUCGGUGGAGGAGUCAUCACUCCAGAGGGUGUAGUUGAGCUUCCACUAACUUUGGGUUCUGGCCAGAAAUAGGUUACGGAGAUGACAUCUUUUCAAGUGGUACGUGUCUCAAUGGCCUAUAACGCAAUUCUGGGAAGACCACUCCUGAACAAGAUUAAAGCCAUUGUGUCCACCUUCCACCUAGCCAUGAAGUUUCCAACAAGUAAUGGCGUUGGGGUUGUCCGUGGAGACCAGACAGCUGCCAGACAGUGCUACGUUGCCAGUGUUCGGGAAAUAAAUAACGACGUCAUGCAAAUCUCGAGGAUGGAUCUCGAGGAUGGGCAACAAGUCAGACUUGCUCCUGUCGAAGAAUUGAUGGAAAUUGAGCUCGAGCAUGAUAAGAAGGUGACGAUUGGUCGGGAUCUUGACGUCACCCUGAAAACAGAACUUGUUAGUUGCUUAUCUCGCAACAUUGACGUUUUUGCCUGGAGGGUUGAGGAUAUGUCGGGGAUAGACCCUAAAAUUGCAGUCCAUAGGCUUAAUAUUAGCCCAGGGGCCAGGCCAGUAAAACAGAGGAAAAGACAGUUUGCCCCAGAACGCCGGGAGGUCAUCCGUGAAGAAAUUAACAAACUUGUCAGCGCCCGGUUCAUUCGGGAGGUUCAAUACCCCGACUGGCUUGCCAAUGUUGUUUUAGUAAAGAAGGCCAAUGGUAAGUGGAGGGUCUGCAUUGACUUCACAGAUCUUAAUAAAGCAUGUCCAAAGGAUAGUUAUCCCCUACCGCGGAUUGACAAUUUGGUGGAUAGCACGUCUGGACAUAAGCUAUACAGCUUUUUGGAUGCAUUUUCAGGUUAUCAUCAAAUCCUCAUGGCCGAGGAAGACCAAGAAAAGACCUCAUUCAUGGCCGAUUCCGCCAUAUAUUGUUAUAAGGUCAUGCCUUUCGGUUUGAAGAAUGCAGGGGCAACGUACCAAAGACUCAUCAACAAAGUCUUCGCUAACUUGAUUGGAAGGAAUGUGGAGGCGUACGUUGAUGACAUGGUGGUCAAGAGCAAGCAGGUGGACCAACAUAUUUCAGAUCUUGAAGAAGUGUUCAACACCUUGCGAAAGUACGGAAUGAAGUUGAACCCCGCGAAAUGUGCAUUCGGCGUAGCCUCGGGCAAGUUCUUGGGUUUUAUGAUCACUCAUCGGGGGAUAGAGGCCAACCCUGACAAAAUACAAGCCUUGGCAUCUAUGGAAUCACCAAGGAACAAGAAAGAGGUACAGAGGUUGACCGGUAGGAUAGCAGCCUUGAACAGGUUCAUGUCCCGAGCAUCGGACAGGUGCUAUCCCUUCUUCAAAGUCCUCAGAGGAAACCAAGGCUUUGAUUGGAGUGAAGACUGUGAGAAAGCUUUCCAGGAGCUCAAACAGACAUUGGCAUCUCCCCCAAUUCUCACUAGGCCUGAGCCUGGUGACACCUUAUUUCUGUACUUGGCCGUAUCUCAAAAUGCUGUCAGCGGGGUCUUGGUGAAAGAGGUUAACAAAGUCCAACAGCCUAUCUACUAUGUAAGCAAGGUCCUACUGGACGCAGAAACCAGGUAUACUUUGGCAGAACAACUUGCCCUUGCCUUGGUUAUAGCAGCAAGGAAACUCCGGCAAUAUUUUCAGUCUCACCCUAUUGUGGUGCUCACUAAUCAACCACUUAGGCAUAUACUUCAGAAGCCGGACGUAUCAGGAAGACUGAUGAAAUGGGCAAUCGAGCUUGGGGAAUUUGACAUAGAAUUCAAACCACGCCCAUCUAUCAAAGCCCAAGCUCUGGCCGACUUCAUUGCAGAACUAACCCCUAGGCCUCGGGGGCCAGGUGAGAGCUCGAGCAUGAGCACUAAUUUGGACACUUGGCAAAUAUUUGUGGAUGGAGCAUCGAACUCCUCGGGCUCGGGCGCAGGGGUCAUCAUCAUCAGCCCUGACAAACAAACAGAGAUCCAAUGCGUUCUCAGAUUCGAGUUUGAAGCAAC
rnacentral:lncRNA from 1 species